GUUAUAUACUGAGUAUCUUUCAAUAUGUAUUCAAUAUUUCUAAUAUUCUUUCUCAUCUACAAUUUCAUAUAUUCAGAUGUCAACAAACUAUUAUUUACAGUUGUACUACUGAACUAAAACCAUUAGAAACACCUCAAAUGGCUUCUUUUGUGUUUAUUGGCAAGACAAUGUCUAAUUCAGUCUGUUAGAAAUUUAAUACAACGUUCACAAAAAUGAGAAAAAAAAUUCUCUGAUCCUUAUCAAAAGUCCUUUUUUUCUUAUAUUCUUAACACGAUCGCGGAUAUACAUGGUUAAGCCAAAACUAUCAACAAGAUAGACUUUUGUCGCUUAUAUACAGUUUUCAUUCAGCACUUAAUCUUCAACAGUAAAUGUAUGCAACUCAAUUUUCUGUGUUAACAAUAUAUUAUUAAUACUAUGAACA
rnacentral:lncRNA from 1 species